CAAAGCAAAUCAAUAGCAGAACGGUUCCCUCACAGGGAAAUUUCAAUCAUCCCUGUAAACCACUGAAACUGAUUACGUGGGAAUAUGGCAUAGGUGGUGGUUGGUCAUCCGUUUCUUUCAAUGACUCUGUUCUUGGCAAAGGCUGAACGGCAAAUAUUAAUAAAUAAACUAAGUUUAUGGCUAUUUGUCUUAUUGAUAUUCUUUUGUACACUCCGUCAAACGUUCAUAUAUUUGCUCUACCUCUAACAUAGACUUCCAGCGAAAACAAGAAAAUCUCAUAGCAAAAACCAUGUGUUGCUGCUGCUGCGAUGAUGAUUGUAAAUGCAGGCCUUUAGGCUUUCUCUUAGGCCUACCCUUUGCUCUCCUAUCUGUCCUCCUCUCUAUCAUCGGUGUACUUAUAUGGAUUGUUGGACUGGUGUUGUCUUGCGUAUGCCCUUGCUGCUUCUGUGUGACCAUCAUAGUUGAAUUCGCACUGGGGUUGAUCAAGGCUCCCAUCCUGGUCAUGAAGUGGUUCACCUCAAAGAUUCCUUGCUAGGGUUCUUGCGUAUAGAUGUUAUCGAUUUCUGUUUUACAGUAUAUGUGAUUCCCUUCAUUGCUGAUUAGCACUGGUUGUAGUUUGACUUUUUAUUUGGACAUGGGAGCAGGAUGAUUGUAUUUUCUGUCCUCUCUUGAUGAUUCCUCCGUUUCCCUUCACCUUACGGCUUCUGUUAAAAUUGAAUGCUCCUUCCUUUGAUUAUUUGACAUUUGUUUAGAUAUCAAGUAUUGCUAUUUUUGUUAUAUACUUUAUUUCA